GACGGAGGGUGCGAGCGUUAAUCGGAAUUACUGGGCGUAAAGGGCGCGUAGGCGGUGGGUUACGUCUGCCGUGAAAUCCCCGGGCUCAACCUGGGAAUGGCGGUGGAAACGGGCUGACUGGAGUAUGGGAGAGGGUGAUGGAAUUCCAGGUGUAGCGGUGAAAUGCGUAGAGAUCUGGAGGAACACCAGUGGCGAAGGAGGUCACCUGGCCCAAUAAUGACGAUGAGGCGCGAAAGCGUGGGGAGCAAACAGG
rnacentral:rRNA from 1 species